AGCUUUGCGCAGUGGCAGUAUCAUAGCCAAUGAGGUCAAACCGAGGCGUGAUUAUUGCUAAUUGAAAACUUUUCCCCAAUACCUCGCCGUGAUGACUUGAAAUAUAGUCAGCACUGGCAAUUUUUGACAGUCUCUCAGGAGA
rnacentral:snRNA from 1 species